UACAGAGGGGGCAAGCGUUGUUCGGAAUUACUGGGCGUAAAGGGCGCGUAGGCGGUUUGUCGCGUCUGCUGUGAAAACUCGGGGCUUAACUCCGGGCCUGCAGUGGGUACGGGCAGACUAGAGUGCGGUAGGGGAGACUGGAAUUCCUGGUGUAGCGGUGAAAUGCGCAGAUAUCAGGAGGAACACCGGUGGCGAAGGCGGGUCUCUGGGCCGUAACUGACGCUGAGGAGCGAAAGCGUGGGGAGCGAACAGG
rnacentral:rRNA from 1 species